CGGGUGAGUAACACGUAUCCAACCUGCCGUCUACUCUUGGACAGCCUUCUGAAAGGAAGAUUAAUACAAGAUGGCAUCAUGAGUCCGCAUGUUCACAUGAUUAAAGGUAUUCCGGUAGACGAUGGGGAUGCGCUCCAUUAGCCAGUUGGCGGGGUAACGGCCCACCAAAGCGACGAUGGAUAGGGGUUCUGAGAGGAAGGUCCCCCACAUUGGAACUGAGACACGGUCCAA
rnacentral:rRNA from 1 species